rnacentral:siRNA from 1 species
GAAUGUUGCUUCAUGCUUUGUGUG